rnacentral:rRNA from 1 species
UACGAAGGGGGCUAGCGUUGUUCGGAAUUACUGGGCGUAAAGCGCACGUAGGCGGAUCUUUAAGUCAGAGGUGAAAUCCCAAGGCUCAACCUUGGAACUGCCUUUGAUACUGGGGAUCUCGAGUCCGGAAGAGGUGAGUGGAACUGCGAGUGUAGAGGUGAAAUUCGUAGAUAUUCGCAAGAACACCAGUGGCGAAGGCGGCUCACUGGUCCGGUACUGACGCUGAGGUGCGAAAGCGUGGGGAGCAAACAGG